AUACGGAGGGGGCUAGCGUUGUUCGGAAUCACUGGGCGUAAAGCGCUCGUAGGCGGAUCAGUCAGUCAGAGGUGAAAUCCCAAGGCUCAACCUUGGAACUGCCUUUGAUACUGCUGGUCUUGAGGUCGAGAGAGGUAAGUGGAAUUCCUAGUGUAGAGGUGAAAUUCGUAGAUAUUAGGAAGAACACCAGUGGCGAAGGCGGCUUACUGGCUCGAUUCUGACGCUGAGGAGCGAAAGCGUGGGGAGCAAACAGAAUUAGAUACCCUAGUAGUCC
rnacentral:rRNA from 1 species